rnacentral:rRNA from 1 species
AACGCUGGCGGCAUGCUUAACACAUGCAAGUCGAACGGAGGUUUAGUUUUUUUAAGCUUCGGCUUAGAUCAAUUAGAUUCUUAGUGGCGGACGGGUGAGUAACGCGUAAGAACCUACCUUUAGGAGGGGGACAACAACUGGAAACGGUUGCUAAUACCCCAUAAGCUGAGGAGUAAAAGGAAUAUUAUUCCGCCUAAAGAUGGGCUUGCGUCUGAUUAGCUUGUUGGUAGGGUAAAUGCCUACCAAGGCGACGAUCAGUAGCUGGUCUGAGAGGAUGAUCAGCCACACUGGGACUGAGGCACGGCCCAGACUUCUACGGAAGGCAGCAGUGAGGAAUUUUCCGCAAUGGGCGAAAGCCUGACGGAGCAAUGCCGCGUGGAGGAUGACAGCCUGUGGGUCGUAAACUCCUUUUCUCAGAGAAGAAGUUCUGACGGUAUCUGAGGAAUAAGCAUCGGCUAACCCUGUGCCAGCAGCCGCGGUACUACAGGGGAUGCAAGUGUUAUCCGGAAUUAUUGGGCGUAAAGCGUCUGCAGGUUGAUAUUUAAGUCUUUUGUUAAACCUCCGGGCUCAACCCGGAAUCUGCAAAGGAAACUAUCUAUCUUGAGUAUGGUAGGGGUAAAGGGAAUUUCCAGUGGAGCGGUGAAAUGCGUAGAUAUUGGAAAGAACACCAACAGCGAAGGCACUUUACUGGGCCAGUACUGACACUCAGAGACGAAAGCUAGGGGAGCAAACAGGAUUAGAUACCCUGGUAGUCCUAGCUGUAAACGAUGGAUACUAGAUGUUGUGUACCUUAGGGUAGGCAGUGUCGUAGCUAACGCGUUAAGUAUCCCGCCUGGGAAGUAUGCUCGCAAGAGUGAAACUCAAAAGAAUUGACGGGGGCCCGCACAAGUGGUGGAGCAUGUGGUUUAAUUCGAUGAUACGCGAGGAACCUUACCUAGGCUAGAAUGCGCGUGACCGGCUCAGAGAUGAGCCUUUCCUUCGGGACACAAAGCAAGGUGCUGCAUGGCCGUCGUCAGCUCGUGCCGUGAGGUGUUGGGUUAAGUCCCGCAACGAGCGCAACCCCUAUGUUUAGUUGCCAGCAUGUAAUGAUGGGGACUCUAGACAGACUGCCUGCGCAAGCAGUGAGGAAGGCGGGGACGACGUCAGGUCAUCAUGGCCCUUACGCCUAGGGCUACACACGUGCUACAAUGGACGGUACAGCGGGUUGCCAACCAGCGAUGGUGCGCCAAUCCCGAAAAGCCGUUCUCAGUUCGGAUCGGAGUCUGCAACUCGACUCCGUGAAGCUGGAAUCACUAGUAAUCGCGUAUCAGCAAUGACGCGGUGAAUACGUUCCCGGGCCUUGUACACACCGCCCGUCAAGCCAUGGAAGUUUGGUAGACCUGAAGCUGGUGCUCCGCAACGAAGCCAGUUAGGGUAGAACAGGUAAC